rnacentral:rRNA from 1 species
CAUUNGACCUCAAAUCANGUAGGACUACCCGCUGAACUUAAGCAUAUCAAUAA